UACGUAGGGUGCGAGCGUUAAUCGGAAUUACUGGGCGUAAAGCGUGCGCAGGCGGUUUGCUAAGACCGAUGUGAAAUCCCCGGGCUUAACCUGGGAACUGCAUUGGUGACUGGCAGGCUAGAGUAUGGCAGAGGGGGGUAGAAUUCCACGUGUAGCAGUGAAAUGCGUAGAUAUCUGGAGGAACACCGGUGGCGAAGGCGGCAUCCUGGACCGGCAUUGACGCUGAGUGAGCGAAAGCCAGGGGAGCAAACGGG
rnacentral:rRNA from 1 species